AGACCAGUAGGUUAGAUAAAGGAAAAAUGGGCUUCUGUUCUGUCAGCUCAUCGCAUCACAACUGAAUUAAUCACACACAGUAUGACUGUCUUAAAGAGACAGACAGAGGAGUCCGAAACAAACCUGAAUCAGUGACAGAAACAUCUCAUUUAAGACAACAGGUUCAGCUUGGAUGUGGUGGCACUGACCAAAAGACGAAGUGACGAAGAUGGACAGGAUUAGGAAUAAGGUUAUUAGAAGGUCAGCACAGCUAGGAUGUUUCUGGGACACAGUACCUGGGGUAGCUGUCGAUCUCCUCCUCUCAGCCUGCUCAGGCUCCUGUGGAAGAAGGAGUGAAUCUCGUUCUUCUCCACCGAACUGGUCAGAUCGAGAGAGGUCAGCAAGCGAGCGUUUUCGUCACAGCGUGUCCGUGAGAAGGACUGGCUGGCAUCUACACAGAUAUGAUUGGCUGUGUCUCAGGGGAGGAAUGGUCGAAGCCCUGCGAUGGAUUGGCACCCUCUCUAUGCACUCAGGGAUUCUUGGUGGGACCCGACCCACUGCAACCCGCAAGCACUCAAACUACAUGUAUACAUCAAGCAGUAGGUUGAUGCUUCUAUUUUUAUCCAUUUAGAGUAAAAGCAUCAUACACAAUUGAGAGUGUAAAGACUGUAACGUCAAAUAAUGGUUCCCCUUUUAAGAAUUCUGAAGGUCCCCUCACAAAGUCUCCUUCAUAUGGCAUAAAUCAAAUAAUUAAAUACACAUAAAACCAAUUAAACAUUUGAA